CGGUCCAGACUCCUACGGGAGGCAGCAGUGGGGAAUAUUGCACAAUGGGCGCAAGCCUGAUGCAGCCAUGCCGCGUGUGUGAAGAAGGCCUUCGGGUUGUAAAGCACUUUCAGCGGGGAGGAAGGCGGUGAGGUUAAUAACCUCAUCGAUUGACGUUACCCGCAGAAGAAGCACCGGCUAACUCCGUGCCAGCAGCCGCGGUAAUACGGAGGGUGCAAGCGUUAAUCGGAAUUACUGGGCGUAAAGCGCACGCAGGCGGUCUGUCAAGUCGG
rnacentral:rRNA from 1 species